rnacentral:lncRNA from 1 species
GGGAGAAGUUUUGGGGAGAGAGAAGGGAAGUGAAAAUAGCAACCCGUUCCAGCUCUGUGGCUUUGGUCUGUGAUGGUUUCGUGCUACUUGGAAAUACCCUGGCCAAGCAGAUUGACAGGCAGAUUUUCCUUAACAAAACAUGCGACGUCAACAGCAACCAGAAACGUAUCUCCCUCUGCAAGCAAGUGUCCUGAAAUAAAGGCCAAAGGAACAUCAGCCCAAUGUAUGAUGAAAACUCUUGUAGGAGAAGAAGAUACGACAGUAGGAUGAUAGCUGAUGAUAACACCUCAAUAGCUGCUCCAUCAAGAAGGAUAUGAGUAUAUUCAAGCCAUUUGCAAACAUUGUGGUGCAAAAAGCCAGUCCAUCAUAAUUCCACGUGGCAGGGGCUGGACUCCUAUCUUGUCAGAAGGAAGGCUGGGACUCCCCGGGUGUUCUGAGCAACACUAAAAUGCCACGAGGUGACCUCCUGUGCCUACUGUGUGAGCCUACAGCACAUCUCAUCUCCUAAGAAGUUUUCUUGAUUGGGAGCUGAGGAUGUCACAUAGCUGUGUGACAGCCAGUAGCUCUUGCUGGAUGAGGCGCUUCCAUGGCACUGUGCUCAGAGAGGCUUUUGGACACCUCGGGCCCACCGCAGCGGGAGGAGAAGAGAGAGCCUACCAAUGCAUGGCAGGUGCAAAUGCUGCCACAAGGCUGAACACCUCCUUCCCUUCCAAGGUGCUCUGUGAAGCUGGCAGCCCGUGGCUUGGACAGCUGCAUUGGGAUGGAAUUGAUACAGAGGCCUGGAUUUUUGCAACAUUCUCCCUCAUGCAGGACACCUCUGGGAAACCACCCGCGCUGCAGGGAGGAUCCUGCCAGCACCACUGGCAAUGCCAGGGCAGCCAUCUGCUGCAGGUGACCGUCCUCCUCUGCCACUCCUCCCAGGUGAGCACUGCUCUCCUUAUUCUCUUUGUCCUCUGUGAAGGGCUGGGGGUGUUUUGGUCAGUAUGGCUUCAAGGCACCAAGGAGAGGUGCUGACCUCAGUUCUUCCAUGUUCAGGAUGGUGAACCUUGGUGCUGGCCGUAGGG